GGGCGGGCAGACCCCGCCCCUGCCGGCGCCGCGGGGCCGCCGUGGCAACCGCGGGGCGGCAAGAUGGCGGACGAUCUAGAUCGGCUGCUGGACGAGGUGGAGAGGCGGCUGUGGCACCGGCACGGCGGCGGCGAGGAGGAGCCCGCGGCGGCCAAGGGCAGAUCAGCUAAAGUGUUACUGAGUGCUGGCAGCAGUGAAGAAGAUCUAGACAACAUUAUUGAUGAAAUCUGUAAUGACAGCAGCUUUACCAAAACACCUUCGAAAUUGAAGUCUAAUUCUGCAAGUCUCACACCUGAAAGAAAUAGUGUUGUUGUACAGGCACAUGGGAAAAGAUGCUGUCCAGUGUACUUGGGUGGAAGCCUUUCACCAUCUGGGAUAGGAACAAAUAUUUCAAAAAGAACGUGUGAUCAUCUACGUUGUACUGCUUGUGACUUCCGUGUGUCACUUUUCAAUGACUACGUCUGGGAUCAGUCCUGUGAUUAUCUUUUUUUCAGGAAUAACAUGCCUGAGCUCAGUAAACUAAGAGCAAAGAUGAUAAAGAAGAAAGGAGCACGUGCAUAUGCUUGUCAGUGCAGCUGGAGAUCCAUUGAAGAAUUAACUGACCUCCAAACAGAGCAGCAGCUUCGAACCUGCAGAGGCCCAGCAGUGUGCCUGGGAAGUCUGGCAGUGCUUCUUCAGUGCACCAGACUGCUCCUUCCAGUGCCCAUGCAGCCUUGCUAGAGUCAGAGGUGAGUUGGCUUUGGAGAGAUACUGCUUGGCACGAUGGUAUAGACAUAUUCAGGGUCAUGUAUUGUUUUCAGUGAAUUUAGUAUUUCAGGCUGAAGUUUCAACUGCUAGAGUCCAAAACUGCAGUUUCAGGACCAGAGACCAGUUGACUAUUGCUCAGUCAGCUCCUAAAAGAGCUCUGCUUGCCUUUCUGUCCUUUGUGAAGAUGUAGCCAUGGCCUGGGCUGUACACAGUGAGUGUUCCUGGGUGUUCUUCAGGUGGGCCCAAGCCACUUUCAUACCUAGAAAACAUCAGUGCUAAGAAUAAGAGAAGAACCCAGAGGUAGGUAACAAGCUUCUCUGGGGAAGAAGAAACCUGCUUGCCAUUCUUCUCAAAGAAUGCAUUUCAAAAGGUGCUGCGUUGCCUUGGCUUUUCUGUUCCAAGGCUAUUUGAAACUCAUGACCAACUAGUUCCACAGGGUGUCUUUUGGCUAGAAUUGUACUGGAAAUUGUGCCACAGUGUAGAAACAAGCUGGGCUUGCAACCUGUGAGCCAGAAAUGGGGAAAAUCCUAAUUCCCAUCUCAGUUCAUGAGACAAAGUCUUAUGUGACUAGGAAAGGGAACAUGUCUCCUGUACUCUGAACAUUCUCCUGAAAUAAUCAGGUUUAUUCAAGUGUAAUUAACUUGUUUCUGGCCUUGGUCAGAGUGGUGGGAUAUGACAGCUUUUUGUCCAAGGGAAGUUGUAAACAGGUAUAAACAGUUGUAAACAGAAGAGUACUUCUGGUAUAGGUUUUCAGAAUUUAUCAUAUUUCUAGAUUUGAGAAUAGUUGCUAUGUCAUUAGGUACAAUUAUUUUGUUGGAAGGAGGAGCAGUAUUAAGAUUUGAUUUCCUUUCCUUUGCUUUCUUCAGUUACAUGUUACAAAACAUUCCAAAGUCCUUGGAUGAAAAGAAUGCAAAGAAAGUUUUGUACUGAAGAUAUUCUGUGAAUGCUGACACUUGCUGAAAGAUUGCCACUUCUCUUGUUUCCUGACAUGUGAGUCUUUGGGUCAUGUAACCAGCACAUGUGGUAGUCACACAAUGCAAGAAAUGCUGUGUUGGGAGCUGCGUACACAAAUUUUUCUUCCUGCCAGGCUCUUUUUUCAAAAGACCUGACAUUGUCUGUGGUGUGACACCUGAUAACUGCAGGCAGGUGGAGUAAAGGAGCACCAGGUGCUGCUCAUUUGUGAGGGCCACAUCUGAUGCCUAAGGUUUGGCAUGUGUGGUUUGAGAAAGUUUUUCAAAUGUCAGCACUUAAUAAAAUGAAAAGUUGGAACUAA